rnacentral:rRNA from 1 species
AUUGAACGCUGGCGGCAUGCCUUACACAUGCAAGUCGAACGGUAACGCGGGGCAACCUGGCGACGAGUGGCGAACGGGUGAGUAAUGCAUCGGAACGUGCCCAGAAGUGGGGGAUAGCCCGGCGAAAGCCGGAUUAAUACCGCAUGAGACCUGAGGGUGAAAGCGGGGGACCGCAAGACCUCGCGGUUUUGGAGCGGCCGAUGUCAGAUUAGCUAGUUGGUGGGGUAAAGGCCUACCAAGGCGACGAUCUGUAGCUGGUCUGAGAGGACGACCAGCCACACUGGGACUGAGACACGGCCCAGACUCCUACGGGAGGCAGCAGUGGGGAAUUUUGGACAAUGGGCGCAAGCCUGAUCCAGCCAUGCCGCGUGCGGGAAGGAGGCCUUCGGGUUGUAAACCGCUUUUGUCAGGGAAGAAACGCUCUGGGCUAAUACCCUGGGGUAAUGACGGUACCUGAAGAAUAAGCACCGGCUAACUACGUGCCAGCCGCCGCCGUAA